rnacentral:rRNA from 1 species
UACGGGAGGCAGCAGUGGGGAAUAUUGCACAAUGGGCGCAAGCCUGAUGCAGCCAUGCCGCGUGUAUGAAAAAGGCCUUCGGGUUGUAAAGUACUUUCAGUCGUGAGGAAGGUGUUAAGGUUAAUAACCUUAGCAAUUGACGUUAGCGACAGAAGAAGCACCGGCUAACUCCGUGCCAGCAGCCGCGGUAAUACGGAGGGUGCGAGCGUUAAUCGGAAUUACUGGGCGUAAAGGGCACGCAGGCGGUUAAUUAAGUUGGAUGUGAAAUCCCCGGGCUUAACCUGGGAAUGGCAUUCAAGCUGGUUAGCUAGAGUCUUGUAGAGGGGGUAGAAUUCCAUGUGUAGCGGUGAAAUGCGUAGAGAUGUGGAGGAAUACCGGUGGCGAAGGCGGCCCCUGGACAAAGACUGACGCUCAUGUGCGAAAGCGUGGGGAGCAAACAGGGAUUAGAUACC